rnacentral:misc_RNA from 1 species
ACUUCUCAAGUCCUUCAGGUUUUGUGACCUUGAUCAGUGACUUGGAUUUGGAGGUGUCUGCAGGCCCAUCAUUUUGUUGGGUCAGCUCCUCUGAAAUACAUUAGCGGAACCGUUUGUGAUCUGUUCCAGGUGUGAUAAUUAUCUACGCCGUUGGGGUCACUCUCUGUCUUGUUCAGCUUCCAGCCGUCCCACUUCAUGUGGACAAUUACUGAAU